GAUCGCGGCGACGUCGGCGGUCCGCCGCCCGCGACGACACGAGAAGUCCACUGAACCUUAUCAUUUAGAGGAAGGAGAAGUCGUAACAAGGUU
rnacentral:rRNA from 1 species